UACGGGGGGGGGCAAGCGUUGUUCGGAAUUACUGGGCGUAAAGGGCUCGUAGGUGGCCAACUAAGUCAGACGUGAAAUCCCUCGGCUUAACCGGGGAACUGCAUCUGAUACUGGACGGCUUGAGUUUGGGAGAGGGACGCGGAAUUCCAGGUGUAGCGGUGAAAUGCGUAGAUAUCUGGAGGAACACCGGUGGCGAAGGCGGCGUCCUGGACCAACACUGACACUGAGGAGCGAAAGCCAGGGGAGCAAACGGG
rnacentral:rRNA from 1 species